UUAGAUCACCGAAGUCAAGCAUCAUUGGGCGCGGUCAGUACUUGGGUGGGUGAACACCUGGAACACCGCGUGCCGUU